GCUUCUCGCGGCAGCGGCCAGCUCCUCGGAGGCUACUGGCGAGCUUGGGAGCUGUGGGUUUACGCCUACUUCCCUAGGCUUGCACCCGUACCAGUCGCGGAGCCUCCUCCGGCUGUCCCGUUCUCGAGUCGCUUCGACGGGAGAUGCACCCGGCGACCACGGGAGACAUUCGGCUUCUUCCGUCGAUAUUUUGACACCAUCACCCCGGCCGAGAUCACUUGGCGGCCAUGGGCUUCCUUGCCGUCGGCGAUGCGGGGUCGGUUCCCUGGUGCUGAGGAGACCUCGCGUUUCCGGAUCUUGCUAGAGGGCCCGGUCUGUCGGGCUUGGUACCUGGGGGAGCGUUUUCUACGCCAGACCCGCGGGUUACCUGAGCAGAUAGU